GGCCCUCUGACUAUGUACUACCUCUUAAGCCACCCUCACACCACCCUGAACUCCCCAACACACACACGCAUACAUGUGUACACAAGCUUCCUAGGGUAUACCUAGUUACUGCUUAGGCUCUGCAAAAUAUAGUAUCUGAGGCAACCACUACAGUGUUUUAUUCUGUGAAAUACUCUAUUUGAAGCAGGCUUUAAAUGAACAUAAAGAAGGCAGCUAUGUGUUUGUUGAGUGAAUAAAUGUUGACUAUUUGUACACCAUGUACCCCAAUAUGCUGUUCAAUCAGCUUAGACAUCUUUAUAGCCAGCCUUUUAGAAUCUGUAAUUAUUUCUGAAUAAGUUGAUAUUUGGAAGCUGGUAUUUUCAAUCAUGGAUAGGCUUGAGGGGAAUGUAGUGGUUGGUCAAAGGGUCCAAAGUUUCAUUUAGACAGGAGGAAUAAGUUUUGUUGAUCUAUUGCAUAGCAAGGUAACUAUAGUUAAUAAUGUAUAUUCCAGAAUUGCUAAAGUAGAUUUUAAAUGUGUUCACCACAGUGAAAUAAGUCUGCAAGAUGAUAGAUGUCAUAGAUAUGGGACAUUUUCUGGGGGCAGCAGUCUUAACCAGUCAGAAGUGAACAGCAAAAUUUGACAUGAACUCAUUGGUGGCAAAAGCUGACCUGAAUAGACAUGAGGCUCUUUUCAUUUAUCCUACCUGAUAUAAUUAUUCAUGUGCUUGCUACAGAAAUGUAAUAUGCUUGAUUAUGGAGUGCUGUCCUACAUUUUGCCUGGUCUGCAUAUUAGGAGUGUUUCUUAGUAAACUGCAUAUGUUCAGAUUCCAAAGCACAUAUCUGUCUUAGGACUUUGGAUAAGAGAUUGAGGACAGUUACAGCUAAGUCAGGAUUAAAUAUGCUAAUAGACACAUAGAAUGUCUGGAACAGUACCUGGCACAUAGUACAAUAGUUUCCCCAAGUAAGCAUAAAAACUAUUGAAUAGAAAAGAAUACUAACAUUUCCAUAUAAAUGAAAGAUUGAUUUUUAUUUUUCACUCUUGAUUUGGGCAAUGGAAAAAAAUGGCAAGCUGCUGCUUCUCUAAUUUGUAUUGGGGAAAAUAGUAACAUUGGUGGAGGGAAUAGUUCAUUAGUUUUGUGGAUCUUUCUUGUUAUUAGGAAAGUUGUGGGAAUUGAAGGCUCUUAGAAUUAGUCAUUCCAUCAGUUGCUACUGAGCACCUGCUGUGUGCCUGGCAGUACCGGAUAUUACAGAUACAUCAGUAGGUAUGCCAAGCCCUUGUCUUUCAGUCACUCACUGUCUAGUGGGAGAGAGAAAGUUGAACCAGCUGUCAUGCCAAAUAUUCAGUUUUGAAAGUAUCAGCUUGGUAAUGCCCUCUAAAUAGAGGAUAAGACAGGAUUGCCACAUAAAAUACACGGCUCCCAGUUAAAUUUGAGUUUCAGGUAAACAAUGAAUAACACUUUAGUGUAUAUCCCAAAUACUGCAUGGGAUAUACUUGUACUAAAUGCAAUAUUUGUCAUGUGCAAUAUUUGGGACAUGCUUGGAACUAAAACAUUAUUGUUUAUUUGAAAAUCACAUUUAACUGGACGUGCUGCGUUUUUAUUUGCUAAAUCUAGCAACUGUACUUACAAUCCUGGGCUAUUCUUGACAAGCUCUGAGGAGGAAAUAGAUGUUGCACUGGCGUUGGGUAAUUGAAGAGUCUUUUUCAAAAGACAAAUUACAAAGGUAUGGAAAACCAGCUGGAGGUGAUGGCCCACUCACUGACUGCCCCUAAUCCCAGCGGGACAAGAAGGGGAGAGAGGUAGGGAGGCUACCUGACAGGAGCUGCAACCUUCCCGGUGUGGGGCGUGGCCAGCCAGCAGAGACUCAUGGAGGAAAAUUGGCAAAAACAAAACUUCACUCUGCUCCCUCCCAGCCUCACUGUGCUCCUAUGCUCCAGUCUCCUGGGAGCACCUCCUCCCCACCUAGAAGUCGGAGGGCAGAGGAGCCAGCCUUGUUGAUGCCCUCCACACAGGCAGCCUGGUGAGCACACGGAGAGUGGGCACAUGGGAAACAGCCAGCACCGUGCUGGUGUAUGUGCCUGUGUCAGAACGCCUCGUUUAUGACAGUGACAGACCAGGAGGAGAGAAGAGGGUUGGAGGAGGAGAGAAGGGGAAGAAAGAAAAGGAGAAAACGAUAGUCUGAAAUUUGAAGAUCAAGAUAAAAAAGUAAAUUGGCACUACCAGUGAUUCUAACCAAAAGUAAUUUUGCUUCUGGUAGAUGCUGCUUUUUUUCCUCUUUGGAAUAACCACAAUUUCUUGC
rnacentral:lncRNA from 10 species